UACGUAGGGGGCAAGCGUUGUCCGGAAUCAUUGGGCGUAAAGAGCGCGUAGGCGGCCCGAUAAGUCCGCUGUGAAAGUCAAGGGCUCAACCCUUGAAUGCCGGUGGAUACUGUCGGGCUAGAGUCCGGAAGAGGCGAGUGGAAUUCCUGGUGUAGCGGUGAAAUGCGUAGAUAUCAGGAGGAACACCGGUGGUGCAGACGGCUUUCUGGACCGUAACUGACGCUGAGACACGAAAGCGUGGGUAGCAAACAGG
rnacentral:rRNA from 1 species